CAGCGAUUCGAUUGAGGGAAUUCUUCUGUGUAAAUCGAAAUUUGUAUGAGGAAUCCACUAGAUUCGAUCACGAGAUGCUUAAAGCAUAAAUUAGCUAAAAAAGAAACAUAAAACAUCUGCCAAUUAAUUAACACGAUUACCUCAUUUAGGUCGCAGAAAUUGUUGUACAGCGAUUCAAUUGGGGGAAUUCUUCUGUGUAAAUCGAAUACAGAAAUUCUUCCUUCAAUCUGCAAUCUUUAGUUUUCCAAUUCUCUUGUGAUGAGCUCUCACGCCUCAAUUAUAUUCCUCUCGCAAGUACAUAUAGCAAUGGUGUACUUUAAAAAUGAGGGUAAAAUAAAAUAAAAAUCUUUGAAAAUGAUUGCCUUGCGUUAGGGACAAAACUAACAGAUCCAAAUUUAUUUUCUUUUCAACUGGUUUUGAUCGGCAAAAAAUGGCUUGGAGCAGGAGCCGCAUAUUACGAUGUAUUUUCAAAUAUCAGAGUGAGAGAACGCACAAAAACCUAUAUGUCUGUCACUGCAUUGCAGGGUUAUGAGUUUUCGAGGACCAGGUGGCAUUUGUUCUAAUCCACAUGCCUUCACUCUCCUUCGACAUCUUGCCUCGACUCUGCUUCGACAUCUUGCGUACUCGUUUAAUUUGAGCUUUUUCAGGUUUUCGAUGCAGAAGAUCAUAAGAUUUCAUGCUAUGGCAAGUGGAAGAAGAGAUCUUUGUGCAAAUGAGCUAACAAGCUUUAUAAAACUAGUUGCCUGCCAAAAUAUUCUUAGCAAGAUCAAGAAACACGUUUCAUUUAGUCAUCGUAGAGUGUGCAGACAAGAGAGAAAUGAUAAUAAUGAUGUUUCUUAUGCAGAGGAAUUAGGGUUCAGAAAGGCUCGCUGAGCUUAUCUUCUUAUUACUGUGUUUUUGUCACCUGCUUAGCAAUUAUGGGCAAUUACUUGACCGAUAUAGCAGUUUCCAUAAGCGGAACGACUGGAGCAUGAUGAAUAUGUUGAAGCAGCAACUGUAGAGAGACUGGUUUUGGGCAGAAGCACAUCCUCUGAGGUCUCUCGCAGUGAGCUGGUGUAGAAUACAGAGAAAGGUAAUGAAUGGUGUUUUUAUUCUACUUUAAAUUAAUUUUUCUACCUCUUUGAUAAUGUCCAUACCCUGUUCCAAAGCUCACAAUGUAAGUACAUAUCCUGCAUAUCCUAUUCCAGAGCAUAACAACUGGAUUUUCUCUAUGGGCAUGAUCACUUAGAUAGUUUCCAGGCCAUUAUCUACCUGAAUUCUUCUUGGAUUCAAGUACAUAUUACUCAUUUUGUGUUGUUUACAAUAAUAGCUAAAAAUUCAUGACCUUGAUAUAACGAAAUUUAACCCAGUCUUUGUUAUUCUCAUCAAAUAUACUAAAGGUUUGGUGCAUUCAUGAUGUAGUAGUCUGGGUGCUUAUUCGUUAAAUAGCUUUUGUUAUGUCUUAUGGGUUACAAACUUGGGUGAGAUUUUCCAAAUUUCUAUUACUAGUGGCUUCGAACUGUUUGACAAAAUGAUUGUAGGGCAUGUUUAGAAUGGAUUCGGGGAACAGGCCUCAGAGCUUUUUGAUAGAUGCAACAAAAUUAAUACCCAAUGUCAUGAGCAUGGUGUCUUCUCUACAUGUCCUCUAUUAAGAGAUCUGUAAGAAAUCAAAGACAUUCAUGAAUAUGUUUACAGAAAAUAUUGAGCUUCUUCUCUUCCUGAAGGG